rnacentral:rRNA from 1 species
AAGUUUCAAUCUUGCGACCGUACUUCCCAGGCGGCAGACUUAACGGCUUCCCUGCGGCACUGCAUUGGCAAGAAGCCAAUGCAUCACCGAGUCUGCAUCGUUUACAGCUGGGACUACCCGGGUAUCUAAUCCGGUUUGCUCCCCCAGCUUUCAUCCCUCACUGUCGAACGUGUUCUGGCAGACCGCCUUCGCCACUGGUGGUCUUCAAAGGAUCAGAGGAUUUUACCCCUACCCCCCGAGUACCGUCUGCCUCUCCCACUCCCUAAUCUUGUAGUAUCUCCAGCGGC